ACACCCCAAUUACCUAACCUAGCAGUUGUUUCCCCCAUCCGCAAAAGAGAACCCUUCCAUAUUUUUGAAAAUCAGUGACACUCCUUCUCUCACUCAGAUCAGAAGAAGAUCGGACCUUCCCUUACCAUGGCAGCUCUUUCUUCUUCGCUUCACUACAUGAAAAACACUAAAAAUUCUUGAAGGGCAGGCACCUAAUACGCCUAUUGUUGAGGUACCACCAGUAGAUCUAGCCGGAGUUCAAGCACCUAAUACGCCUAUAGCUACCUGUACUCCAGCCCUUCAGGAUACAUUAGCUCAGUUCAUAUCUAUAUACACUACCUUAGAUCAGGUGGGGUUGCUUCCCCUUGCUGCAACCACAUCCUAGGUUGGAGUAGGGGAUCAGACUUUCGCAGCCCACACUCCUGAGUAGAGAGUGCAUAUGGAGCAGGUCCUAGAGAUCAUUCCUGUGCCGCCUGCAAUGCCAGUUCAGCCCGAGGAUGGGUUAGCUUUUUCAAAGGAUGAGCAGCUGAGGCUUGAGAGGUUCAAGAUAUACGAGCCUCCUGUGUUCAGCGGUUUAGCAUCGGACGAUUACUUGGGAUUUCUAAAGGAGUACCAUCGUAUUCUUCGCACUAUGAGUAUAGUAGAGUCCAGCUGGGUUUCCUUUACUGCCUUUCAGCUUUGGGGAGCCGCAUGAUUGGUAGUGCACCUAUGAAAUAGACACUCCAUUCGAGGCUGCUUUGUUACUUGGACCCAGUUCUCGGAUAUGUUCAUGAGAAAGUUUGUGCCUCAAAGUCUGAAGAACGCAUGGCGCGCAGAGUUUGAGCAUUUGCGCCAGGGUGCUAUGACCGCUUCGGAGUAUGCUAUCCGUCAUACCAAAUUGGCUAGGCAUGCACAAACCUUGGUUGGUACUUUCCGUAAGAGGGUUUGUCGGUUCAUUGAGGGCCUUAUUCCUCCCACCAGAUCUAGCAUGGAUCGAGAGUUGUAGAUGGACAUUCCUUAUUAGCAGGUAGUGAGAACUGCUAGGAGGAUCGAGGGUAUGCUCACUAGGGAAUGAGAGGCCAAGAGGUCUCGAGAGUCGGGCCACUACUCAAGUGCUCGUACCCUAGUAAGAGGUCGACAUGGUUGGGGUUAUAUGGGUCGCCCCUUCAUUCAACUCUUACAUCAGCCACCAGUGCUCCAGCUCCUCCUAGUCCCCAGGAGCCUUACUAUGCACCUCCAAUUUCUAGCGCGCCUCCUGUGCUAGGUGCUUUAAAGGCCAUUCCAGCAGACCUGGCUCUAGCCAGUCACAAUGACCACGUCAUUCCAGAACGUUUUUUGAGCGUGGUGACACCCGCCAUGUGGUGAUGGAUUGACCUAGACUUGGGAGGAGUGCACCUCCAUAGACUGCUCAGCCACAUCGUGCUCCUCAGAGUUCUCAGGCCAUGAUCACAGCUCUAGCUGCCACCUCAUCUAUCCAGCCAGCUAGGGGUGGAUUUCCAAGAGGUACGGGUCGCCCUCGAGUAGUAGGCUAGUCCAGAUAUUAUGCCAUUCCUCCUCAUACCGCAGCUGUUGCCUCCGAUUCUAUCAUUACAUGUAUUAUACUAGUUUGUCACAGAGAUGUAUCGGUUCUAUUCUAUCCAGGCUCCACCUAUUCUUAUGUGUCUUAUUAUAUUUCUCAGCAUUUGGGUAUAUCCUGAGAUUCGUUGAGUUUCCCUAUUUAUGUUUCUACUUUUAUGGGAGAUUCUUUUUUGGUGGACUGCGUUUAUCGGUUGUGUUUGGUCACUAUUCGUGCAUUUAAGACCAGAGCAGAUUUAUUAUUACUCCGUAUGGUUGAUUUUGUUAUUAUUUUGGGCAUGGACUGGUUGUCGCCCCAUCAUACUAUUCUUGAUUGUCACGACAAGGCCGUGACGCUGGCUAUGCCAGGUAUUCCGCAUGUUGAGUGGAGUGGUACUUUAGAUCACACUCCAAUAGAGUUAUCUCUUUCCUUAAAGCUCAACGUAUGGUUAAGAAGGGGUGUGCAACGUAUUUAACCUAUAUGAGAGAUGUCAGUGUUGAUACCCCUUCUGUUGAGUCUGUCCCAGUGGUACGGGAUUAUUCCGAUAUGUUUCUAGCUGAUCUUCCGGGUAUGCCACCUGAUAGAGAUAUUGACUUUGGCAUUGAUUUGUUGCCGGGCAGUCAACCCAUUUCCAUUCCUCCGCAUCGUAUGGCUCCUCCUGAGUUUAAGGGGUUGAAGGAUCAGUUACCGAAAUUGAUUGAUAAGGAUUUUAUUCAACCUAGUGUUUCACCGUCGGAUGCUCCUGUCUUGGUUGCAAAGAAAAAAAAUGGUUCAAUGCGCAUAUGUAUCGAUUAUCGUAAGUUGAACAAGGUUACAGUGAAGAAUCGUUAUCCCUUACCUCGUAUUGAUGUUCUAUUUGAUCAGCAUCAGAGCAUACUGGUGUUUUCUAAGAUUGAUUUUUGCUCAGGGUACCACCAGUUAAAGAUUCGGGAGCCAGCUAUCUCGAAGACUGCCUUCAGCACUCGGUAGGGUCAUUAUGAGUUCCUUGUUAUGUCAUUUGGGGAAACCAAUGCCCCAACAGCUUUUAUGCAUUUGCUGCACAGUGUAUUCAAUGGUCAUUACGAGUUCCUUGUUAUGUCAUUAGGGCAAACCAAUGCCCCAACAACUUUUAUGCAUUAGAUGCACUGUGUAUUGAAGCCCUAUCUCGACACGUUCGUCAUUGGUUUCAUAGAUGAUAUUCUUGUAUACUCUUGGAGUCGGGAAGAUCAUGAGCAGCACCUGAGGAUAGUGCUUCAGACCUUGAGAUAGAAGAAGUUAUAUGAAAAGUUCUCAAUAUGCGAGUUUUGGUUGAGUUCUGUGGCAUUCUUGGGCCACGUGGUAUCGAGUGAGGUAAUUCAGGUAGAUCCGAAGAAGGUAGAGGCCGUGCAGAGUUGGCCCAGGCCAUUCUCAAGCUAAAGAGAUUCGUAGUUUUAUUGGCUUGGCAGGUUACUACCGUCAUUUUGUGUAGGGGUAUUCAUCGAUUGCACAAGAUGAGGUGGUUAGAGUUGCUGAAGGAUUAUGAUAUUACUAUUCUUUAUCACUCGGGCUAGGCUAAUGUUGUAGCCUAUGCCUUGAGUCGCUGGGCGGAGAGUUUGGCAUAUUUACCAGCUUCAGAGAGGCCUAUGGCGAUGGAUGUGCAGGCCUUAGCCAGUCAGUUUGUGAGAUUGGAUCUUUCGGAGCCCAGUCGGAUUCUAGCCUAUGUGGUUUUUCGGCCUUCAUUAUUCGAUCAUAUCAAUGAGCGGCAAUAUGAUGACCCUCAUUUACUGGUCCUCAGGGACAGUUUUCAGCACGGCAAUGCCGGAGAUGUGACCAUUGGAUGUGAUGGGAUAUUGAGGAUGCAUGGUCGGGUUUGCGUGCCCAAUGUUGAUUGGCUUCGGGAGUUGAUAUUAGCAGAGUCCCAUAGUUUGCGGUAUUCCAUCCAUCUGGGUGGUGCGAAGUUGUAUCAGGACUUGAGGCAGCACUAUCGGUGGAGGCGGAUGAAGAAGGAUAUAAUGUGAUAUAUAGCUAGAUGCCUCAGCUGUCAGCAGGUGAAGUAUGAGCACUAGAGACCAGUUGGGUUGCUUCAGCAGAUAGAGAUUCCAUAAUGGAAAUGGGAGAGGAUCACCAUGAUUUUGUAGUUAGUCUCCCUCGGACUGCGAAGAAGUUCGAUGCCAUUUAGGUGAUUGUGGAUCGGUUGACCAAGUCUGCUCAUUUUAUCAUUGUGUGUACUACUUAUUCAUCGGAGCGGUUGGCAGAGAUUUAUAUCAGGGUGAUUGUUCGAUUACAUGGCAUUCCAGUUUCUAUUAUUUCGGAUAGAGGUACUUAGUUCACAUCACGGUUCUAGAGAGCCGCUCAGUAGGAGUUGGGUACUUAGGUGACGAUGAGGAUAGUGUUUCACCCCCAGAUGGACAGACAAUCCGAGCGCACUAUUCAGAUUCUUGAAGAUAUGCUUCGUGCGUGUGUGAUUGAGUUUGGAGGAUCUGGGGAUCAGUUCUUGCCAUUGGCGUAGUUUGCUUAUAACAACAGUUAUCAGUCCAACGUUUAGAUGGCGCCGUAUGAGGCUUUAUAUGGUCAGAGAUGCAGAUCUCCGUUGGGUUGGUUUGAGCCGAACGAGGCCAGGCUAUUGGGCACAGAGGUUGUUUAGGAUGCAUUGGAGAAGGUUAAGGUGAUUCAGGAUAGUCUCCAUAUGGGCCAGUCCAGACAGAAGAGCUACGUGGGCAGGAAGGUCCGUGAUGUGCUAUAUAUGGUCGAAGAGCGGGUCUGCUUCGGGUUUCGUCUAUGAAGGGCGUUAUGAGGUUUGGGAAGAAAGGGAAGUUGAGUCCAAGAUUUAUUGGCCCUUUUGAGACAUUGAGGUGAGUUGGGGAGGUUGCUUAUGAGCUUGCCUUACCUCCGAGACUGGAAGUAGUUCAUCCGGUAUUUCAUGUUUCGAUGCUCCAGAGGUAUCUUGGUGAUCCAAAACACGUGUUGUAUUUCAGCUUAGUCCAGUUGGACAAGGCUCUAUCCUAUGUUAAGGAGCCAGUGUCUAUAUUGGUCAGGCAUGUCAGAAAGUUGAGGUCAAAGAACAUUGCUUCAGUAAAGGUUCACUGGCGGGAUCAGCCGACCGAGGAGGCAACUUGGGAUACCGAGUGGGAUAUGCACAGCCAAUAUCCUCAUCUUUUCACUACUUCAGGAAUGUUCUCUAUGCUCGUUUGAGGACGAACAAAUGUUUAUGUGUAGGAGGAUGUGACGACCCGGCCACUCGUUGUUGGAAUUUAUGCCCCGAUGCCCAAUUAAGUGCUUCCCCUAAGUUCAUUUCUUUUAUUUUGGUUUGCUGGGACGUUUAGUGCUGGGUUUUGGAGAGCUUUGGGACACUUAAGCCUAAAUGAGAGCUUAAGUGUGGAUAGUGGUCCGUAGUAAGAAAAGUAUGAGAACAACCUCGGAAUGGAAAUUUGAUGGCUCCGUUAGCUCAGUUAGGUGAUUUCGAGGCAGGGAGCAUAUUCAGAAUGUAUUUUAGAAGUUGUAGCUCAAUUAGGCUUGAAAUGGCAAAGUUUGAAUGGGUAGGGAGCAUAUUCAGAAUGUAUAUUAGAAGUUUGUUGCUCAAUUAGGCUUGAAAUGGCAAAGUUUGAAAUUUUAAAGUUUUCGGUCCGAUAGUGAGUUUUUGAUCCAAGGGUCGGAAUAAAAUUCUGGAAGUUGAAAUAACUCCAACAUGUCGUUUGGUAUGUUUGUGCGAAAUUUCAGGUCAUUCGAACGUGUUUUGGUUAGGUUUUUGAUCGAAAUCAUGAUUAGAUGAAAUUUGAAGUUCUUAGGCUCAAAUCAUUGAUUAAUUCGAGUUUCUGGCAUUGUUUUAGGUGGUUUAAGGAUUUGUACAAGUUUGAAUUGUGUUAUGGGAUAUGUCAAUAGGUAUAGUUGAGGUUCUGGGGGUCUCGGGUGUGUUUGGGAGGCUCAACGAAGCAUUUUAAAGUUUGAAAAAUUUCCAUUCAGUAGUUGCAGGUCCAAGUUCUUUCUUUGCGUUCGCGACACUCCCAUCUCAUUCGCGUAGCUCUGGCUUUCCCUUUCUUCGCAGUGUCUUCCUCCUCCACACGUUUGCGUAGAGUAAUUCUGGAGGAGUACCAGUCUCUUCAACACGUUUGUGUUCACGAAGUUUCAUGUUUCCACCCAUCGCGUUCGCGUUCCGACUGACGCGUUCUCGUAGCUUUGUGGUUCCAGUCCUUCGCGUUCGCAGUCAUUUACUCGCAUUCUUAAAGGGCAGUUUUGUCAGAAUCCAUUUCCCUUCUCCGCAAAUGCGAGAAUUCCUCUGCGUUUGCGAUGCAUUAAAUACCUGGACAAUAUGAAAUCAUUCAAAAAUGAUGGUUAGCCAUUUUUAUCAGAAUACAAGAUUGAGAGCUCGGAUUUGGGAGUAAUUUCGAUGGUUUUUCAAGGGAAACUACUAGGCAAUGAUUCUGUACUCUCAUAUGCUUAAAACCCACUAAUCUAAUCACAAAUUUAUCCUUAGUUUCAGAUUUUUGAAUGAAAAUUGGGGAAAACUUCUUAGACCAAACUAUUGAGUUUUGAGUGGGUGUUUGACCUCUAUAUUGGGAGAUUUUUAUAUGGUUAGACUCGUGAAAGUACGAGGGUUCUGAAAAUAAUAAAAUUAUCUUAUUCCAAGACGUUUUCCUGAGGGGAGUUUUUGUUAUUUUACCUAUUUUCGCGCCCUAUAUUUGAAUUAAAUUGUUGGUUCAGUUGCUUGCGAUGUUAUUUACGAUAUGUAAUUGAAUUGAAUAGAUUUGGGCCAUUCGGAGUCGGAUACUCGUGGAAAAGGCAUAAUUUCUAGUUGAUUUUGUAUCGGUUCGAGGUAAGUGGCUUGUCUAACCAUUCGAAGUCGGAUACUCGUGGAAAAGGCAUAAUUUCUAGUUGAUUUUGUAUCGGUUCGAGGUUUGUGGCUUGUCUUACCUUGCGUGGGGGACCGUUCCCCUUAGGACAUGAUAAUUGAUAUUUUAAUGCCUCGUACGUGAGGUGACAGAUAAAUUCCAAUCGUUUAAGCAUAAUUUAUAUAAGAGUUAAACUAUUUAGCUAAAACUUAUCAAAAAGUAUAUUUGCAUUUAGAAUACUGCAAUCUUUUAAGUAUUUACAAAAUUUGCAGUUGGUAUACGUCUGAUUAGCAAAACGCAAUAUAUUCCCUCUAUUUACAUUUUUGAAUUUAUUAAAAAAAGAGUGACAUGUUUUAUAAUUAGAAAUAUUUUAAUUAUACUCUUAGUUUUACUCUUAAUAAUGACAUGUUCUUGGGCAUAAAAUCCGGACAUAUUUAAAUGAAAUUUCUACAUUUCUGUACACUAUAUGAAAUUAUAUUACCUUCUGUGUGCACAUAAUUUUUGCUCUGCUUGGAAAUAACUCCUAAAAAUUGACCAAAAAUAAUUUUAUUGUAUUUUAGGAUUUUUUUCUUUAUUUAGUUGCAUUUCAUGUAUGUAUAAUAUUUUAAAAUCAUAAGAAAAACCAUAAAAAUUAUCACAUUUUAAUUUCAUGCCAUCUUAGGUUUAAUUUGCAUUUAGAAAUUAGUUACAUUGCUAAAAGCAUCAUUUAAAUAACUAAAAGAAAUACAUUCUCAUGUUAGAUAAUUAAUUAGACAAAAUAAAUAAAUUAUUUGGCCAUAUAAAUUAGAUUAAACUAAAUUAGAGUUUAAAGUGGCUAAAAUUUCUAAAAUCAAGGGAGCGAAAUAAAAGGUUUUCAUUUGGUUUUGUUUUAAAUUUGGGCCACAAAUCAUUUCUAAUGCCCAACGGCACACAAUUCGCCCCAAAUCCUCCAGCCUAAUCCCCACCGACCCUCUUGGUCCAAAUGAGUUCAUUAUUAUACUUUAAAAUCCUUAACCCUAAAGACUCAAGGGAGACUAAGAAUAAACACGCCCAAUUACCUAACCUUGCAGUUGUUUCCACCAUCCGCAAAAGAGAUUCCUUCCAUAUUUUUGAAAAUCAGUGACACUCCUUCUCUCACUCAGAUAAGAAGAAGAUCGGACCUUCCCUUACCAUGGCAGCUCUUGCUUCUUCGCUUCAUCACAUGAAAAACACUAAAAAUUCUUGAAUCAGAAAUUUGGAAAACUC
rnacentral:lncRNA from 1 species